rnacentral:rRNA from 1 species
ACGCGCAGAACCUUACCAGGUCUUGACAUCCCGCUGACCGGUAUAGAGAUAUACCUUUCCCUUCGGGGACAGCGGUGACAGGUGGUGCAUGGUUGUCGUCAGCUCGUGUCGUGAGAUGUUGGGUUAAGUCCCGCAACGAGCGCAACCCUUGAUCUUAGUUGCCAGCAUUUAGUUGGGCACUCUAAGGUGACUGCCGGUGACAAACCGGAGGAAGGUGGGGAUGACGUCAAAUCAUCAUGCCCCUUAUGACCUGGGCUACACACGUGCUACAAUGGAUGGUACAAAGGGCUGCAAGACCGCGAGGUUUAGCCAAUCCCAUAAAACCAUUCUCAGUUCGGAUUGCAGGCUGCAACUCGCCUGCAUGAAGCUGGAAUCGCUAGUAAUCGCGGAUCAGCAUGCCGCGGUGAAUACGUUCCCGGGCCUUGCACUCACCGCCCGU